rnacentral:rRNA from 1 species
AUGGCGGACCGGCUGGUGGUCGGACUGUCCAAAUUGGUGGUGGUGGGGGCGAUCAGCAGGGUACAGUCGGCGAUCGACGAGGAUACUAGGCUGCGGCAAAAGGUCAAGUGUGACCUUGUGUCAAUCACUUUGGAGCUGGAGAUGAUGCAAUCCUUCCUGGAGGACACCAACGAGGAGAUCAAGAGCAAUGUGGUGAGGACCUGGGCGAACAAUAUUCGCCAGCUCGCUCGCGAUCUGGAAGACUGCGUAGAGAAUGUUGUUCAGCUGGAGGACAAGCCAAUCUUUUGGCGCCGGUUGCUCCCAUCCUGCGUGGCAACCCCGCUGACACUGGACGAGGCCGUAGAGGAGUUAGAGAAGCUCAAGGGCAGGGUGGAGGACGUCAACAACUGCUACAGGCGCUACAGCCUCAUCAACUUCGACUCUGCUACAGGGUCGUCCAACCCGACGCAGGGCACAGCCGCAUUUGAGAUGCUGCUCGCCGACGCAGGGCACAACACCAAGAGGCUGGGCGACCACUUAGGUGAUCUCGCCGGCCAUAUAAUCGCCAACAAAGUAUACAAGCACCUUCAGGUGAUCUCCGUGUGGGGGUCAGGCGGCGAUCUUGGGACGACAACCAUCAUCAGGGAGACCUACAAUGAUCCAGAAAUCUGUCACUACUUCGCGUGCCGGGCAUGGGUGAAGCUGGUGCAUCCCUUCAGUCCCCACGACUUCGUUCGGAGACUUGUAGCUCAGUUCUACGCAAACUCUUGCAAAGAAGAAAAUGCUGCAACGGGAGUCCUCUCGAGGAUGGAUGCCACCCAGGCACAUCUUUUCGAGGAGUUCAAGCAGCUAGUCAGAAAGAAGAGGUACCUCGUCGUUGUGGAAGGCCUCUCAAACAUGGUAGAGUGGGAUGCCAUCAGCACAUUCCUUCCUCACUGGGAGGAGGAGGGAGGCUGCGUCAUCGUGUCCACGCAGCAACUCGAAAUAGCAAGCUUGUGCAUCGGCCAUCCUUACCAGAUAUUGGAAUUGAAACAGUUCUCGCCUCAGCAUUCCAUUUGUGCUUUCUUCAAGGAACCAAAGGUGCAUAAAGUAAGCCAAAAGAAAGAAGCGGAAGAGUGGAUGAUCUAUAAUCCCCUUGUUGGACGCGAAUCACAUGUAAAUGAACUUGGCAAAAUUCUGGCUAAAGCACAUGCCAGCACUUCCCAAGUGGUGUCUGUAUGGGGAAUAGCUUGCGUUGGGAAAUCAACUCUUGUCCGACACUUGUAUUUUGACAUAAUGUGUUAUAGCAGCCAAUUUAACAGGUUCAUUUGGGUCGAUGUAUCCUAUCCAUUCAAUUUAAGGGGUUUCCUUUGGAGCUUACUUUAUGAUUUUCACUCAGAAAAAGACCCCCUUCAGGAGUGUCGCCACCUUCUGCAGCAACAUCAGUGCCUCGUUGUCAUCGACGGUCUCCGGUCUAAAAAAGAAUGGGAUUUGAUACAAGCAGCAUUGGUAUCAAGAGCUUCUGCAAGCGUUAUCAUUGUCAUUACAACUGAAGCAAGCAUCGCAGAAUACUGCACACAAACAGAAGAGCACAUGUUGAAUGUCCAAUGUUUAAAACUUCUUGAUGCCUAUUAUUUCUUCAAAGAGGAGGUAUGCAAGAAAAAUCGAAUGUCCCCUUUGAACAAUGACAAAUAUAUGUAUGACCUAGAAGAACUUAUUAUCAAGUGUGGAGGUUUCCCUGGAGUAAUAACUGCUAUAGCGGGCUUGUUGGUCACAAAGGCGGAGACAUGGAAGGAUGCAGCAGAUUCUUUGAAUCACAGAUUUAUGCAUCAACUACAGUCUGAACCAGAGUUUAAUUGUCUAGGGGGUCUAUUUCGUCAGAUGCGUUCCAUCAUACUUAAUCCUCCAGAAUUUCUCAAGGGAUGUAUCUUCUACCUGCUAUUAUUUCCUCGAGGCAUUUCCUUUCGGCAGAAUAGACUAGUAAGGCGGUGGAUCGCAGAGGGCUACUCGAAGCAAAUUGUGGAAGGAAACAUGGAGCAGAAUGCAGAGAAUUUCUUCUCCGAGCUCGUCCAACUGAGCAUACUCCAGCCUAGCCAGCAUGCCAGCAGCAACAAUAUAAAGGUAUAUUAUGUUGUGAAUGAUUUCAUUCGAGAGUACAUUAUCUCACCGCAGGUGGAAGAGAACUUUGUGUAUGAACUAAGUGGUGAUUGUGCUAUAAGCACCCAAAGCAGAGGGCGUCACCUUAUCAUAUUGCGAUCCUGGUACAGAAACAGAAUUGUGUUUGAGAGAGCAGACUUCUCACGGAUAUGGUCACUCACAGUGUUUGGGAAGUGGGAGCCUUUCUUCAUCUCCAAGGGUAUGAAGCUUCUCCGGGUGCUUGAUCUUGAGAGUACAGAAGGUGUGAAGGAUGCCGAUCUCGACAAGAUGGUGAAACAGCUGCGUUUCCUGAAGUUCCUCUCUAUACGAGGGUGUCAUGAGAUCUGUCAUCUGCCAAGUUCAUUAGGUGACCUGAGGCAGCUCCAGACUCUGGAUGCCAGGCACACCUCCAUAGUCACCCUGCCCGCAAGCAUCACCAAGUUACAGAAGUUGCAAUACCUUCGUGUCGGCACCAACUUUUACUCAGAAUCAACACCAUGUGCUUUAUCCAACUGCUUACACGAGUUGUGCAGGCGUAAUCACCUAGCCGGUGUCAAGGCGCCCAGAGGAAUUGGGAAACUAACAGAGUUGCACACACUUGGUGUUGUCAAUGUUGCGCUUGAAGACCUCAAGAAGCUCACCCAAUUGCGCAAGCUUGGAGUGUCUGGCAUCAACACUAAGAACAGUCCCAGGUUUUUUUCUGCAAUCUCUGAUCAUGUACAUCUCGAAUCCUUGUCAGUGAGGCUGGACAACGACCAUGAAGGCUGCUUGGAUGGUAUCGACCAGCCUCUGGGGAACCUCCGGAGCCUUAAACUGUAUGGGCUUGGAGACAGGCUUCCUGUCGCUCUAUCAUCCAACAAUGUCCUUAGGAAGCUCACAAAAUUGGAUCUGGCGAUGGCUGCUUUGCCGCAAAGUGACAUAGAGCACCUUGGGAUGUUGCCAAAACUAUGUAUUCUGCGACUUAGUGUGAAGCAGCACAGCCUCAAGUUUUAUGCUGAAAUGCACGGACAGCAGUUGGCCACCUACGAAAAGGUAAAGAUCCUCGAAAUUUCUGGCAGCUCGAGCGGCUUACAUGUAAUCUUUGGAUCAAGUUCGAUGAAAGGUCUUAAGAAGCUUAAGUUUGACUGCUCCGAGGCGUCCUAUGAACUAGAGGGCCUGGACUUCCUAUCUGAGCUCAAGGAAAUCUUGCUUACUGGUACCGGUGAUGAAGCAAUCGGCAGCAGCCUUGUGUCUCAGCUUCGCAGCCAUCCAGGGAAACCUACUGUGACGCUUGUUUGA